rnacentral:rRNA from 1 species
UACGGAGGGGACUAGCGUUGUUCGGAAUUACUGGGCGUAAAGCGCACGUAGGCUGAUUUGUAAGUCAGGGGUGAAAUCCCGGGGCUCAACCUCGGAACUGCCUUUGAUACUGCAAAUCUCGAGUCCGGAAGAGGUGAGUGGAAUUCCUAGUGUAGAGGUGAAAUUCGUAGAUAUUAGGAAGAACACCAGUGGCGAAGGCGGCUCACUGGUCCGGUACUGACGCUGAGGUGCGAAAGCGUGGGGAGCAAACAGG